GUCCUGUAUCGGAUAGUUGAGCUUCGGCUUUGGUCGGAGUUAGGAAAGUCCGAACACAUAGUUCCGACUUGUCGGGACAAACGUAGCGGGUAAUGCCCGUCGGGAGUAAUCCUAGGGUUGAGAACAGUGACGAACCGAUUAAGUUCGGGUGAAACGGCAAAAUACCUACGCAUGUGCAAGAUCGUGCUCCAAUUUUGUUCGCCAUAAGCGAUUACAAAAUUGAGAGCUCUGAGUGUAAUCGAAGAGCCCUUCGACAAGCUCAGGGUACUCAAUUUUGCACCACUUAUGGUGGGCAAAAUUGGUAGAGAAUCGCUUGAGCCCGAGCGUAAGCGAGGGCCUAGAUAAAUAACUAUCGCCAGUUGGCACAGAAUUCGGCUUAUAGAUACAAGACCAAA
rnacentral:RNase_P_RNA from 2 species